CGAGGCCAGCAUCAGCAUAUGUCAGGGAAAGCAUUAAGUUAUCAUUUUCAGUCACUGUUCACUCUAAAAGUGAACUAUUGCUUGGACUUAGUGCUCCGUCUAAAGAUGUAGGAAGUAAAACAGAUGACUUGCACCUUUUAGGCAAAAGAAUCAACCACAAAAAGGUGGAUGCUUAAAAGAUCUGCUUUUUGCCGAGGACUUUAAUAAAUGUGUAGACAAAGCAAAAUUAGAAGAGCAUCAGACACUUAUUACAUUACCACUUCUCAGUUCGCAACAUAAAAAAUGAAAAGAAAAGAAAAAGGAAAUCAAGCCUGUGCGUUACCACUUACCAGUGAGUAGUAACGAAAUACAACAGCACAUUAAAAAAAUGCUUCAAUUGCGGAGUGAACCAAAGAUUAUAAUAUAUAUGUAUGGAAUAAGACUGGAAGGCUGUCAUUUAACGAAAUACAACAGCACAUUAAAAAAAUGCUUCAAUUGCGGAACGAAUCAAGAUAAUAAUAUAUAUUACUAUGGAAUAAGACUGAAAGGCUAUCACUUAAUGUUUUCAAUUCUAGACAUAAAAAAGUAAAGAUAAUCGAUCACUGUACCUGGAAAUCAGCUAGUAUUAGAUUUGAACGUGAAAAAGUAAGUGAAAGAGGGAGGGUAUUAAGGAGUUGGGCAGAAGAUCAAUAAGAAAGGGAAGAUGAUGAGACGAAUAAAAUAUACCAACCAGUUCACAGGGAAGUGAUUGUCCGGCAGUGAUGUG
rnacentral:lncRNA from 1 species